UACGUAGGUGGCAAGCGUUGUCCGGAAUUAUUGGGCGUAAAGCGCGCGCAGGCGGUCCUUUAAGUCUGAUGUGAAAGCCCACGGCUCAACCGUGGAGGGUCAUUGGAAACCGGGGGACUUGAGUGCAGGAGAGAAGAGUGGAAUUCCACGUGUAGCGGUGAAAUGCGUAGAGAUGUGGAGGAACACCAGUGGCGAAGGCGACUCUUUGGCCUGUAACUGACGCUGAGGCGCGAAAGCGUGGGGAGCGAACAGG
rnacentral:rRNA from 1 species